rnacentral:rRNA from 1 species
CUAAUACAUGCAAGUCGAGCGCGGGAAGCAAGCGGAUCCCCUUCGGGGGUGAAGCUUGUGGAACGAGCGGCGGACGGGUGAGUAACACGUGGGCAACCUGCCUGUAAGACCGGAAUAACCCCGGGAAACCGGGGCUAAUGCCGGGUAACACCUACCUUCGCAUGAAGGAAGGUUAAAAGAUGGCUUCUUGCUAUCACUUACAGAUGGGCCCGCGGCGCAUUAGCUAGUUGGUGAGGUAACAGCUCACCAAGGCGACGAUGCGUAGCCGACCUGAGAGGGUGAUCGGCCACACUGGGACUGAGACACGGCCCAGACUCCUACGGGAGGCAGCAGUAGGGAAUCUUCCGCAAUGGACGAAAGUCUGACGGAGCAACGCCGCGUGAACGAUGAAGGUCUUCGGAUCGUAAAGUUCUGUUGUUAGGGAAGAACAAGUACCGUGCGAAUAGAGCGGUACCUUGACGGUACCUAACGAGGAAGCCCCGGCUAACUACGUGCCAGCAGCCGCGGUAAUACGUAGGGGGCAAGCGUUGUCCGGAAUUAUUGGGCGUAAAGCGCGCGCAGGCGGUUUCUUAAGUCUGAUGUGAAAGCCCACGGCUCAACCGUGGAGGGUCAUUGGAAACUGGGGAACUUGAGGACAGAAGAGGAGAGUGGAAUUCCACGUGUAGCGGUGAAAUGCGUAGAUAUGUGGAGGAACACCAGUGGCGAAGGCGACUCUCUGGUCUGUUUCUGACGCUGAGGUGCGAAAGCGUGGGUAGCAAACAGGAUUAGAUACCCUGGUAGUCCACGCCGUAAACGAUGAGUGCUAGGUGUUAGGGGGCUUCCACCCCUUAGUGCUGAAGUUAACGCAUUAAGCACUCCGCCUGGGGAGUAC